UCCCUCUUAGCUCAGUUGGUAGAGCGCGUCACUAGUACGAUUAAGUCGUGUGAUGACGAGGUCAGUCGUUCAAAUCGGCUAGCGGGAA